GGGGGAGCAAGCGUUGUUCGGAAUCAUUGGGCGUAAAGAGCUCGUAGGCGGCUCCGUAAGUCAGGGGUGAAAUCCAGUGGCUCAACCAUUGUCACGCCUCUGAAACUACGGAACUUGAGUUCAGGAGAGGAAAGCGGAAUUCCAGGUGUAGCGGUGAAAUGCGUAGAUAUCUGGAGGAACACCGGUGGCGAAGGCGGCUUUCUGGCCUGAAACUGACGCUGAGGAGCGAAAGCCAGGGGAGCGAACGGGGGAUUAGAUACCCCGGUAGUCCUGGCCGUAAACGAUGGGCACUAGGUGUGGGAGAUCGACCCUUUCCGUGCCGCAGUUAACGCAUUAAGUGCCCCGCCUGGGGAGUACGACCGCAAGGCUA
rnacentral:rRNA from 1 species